rnacentral:rRNA from 1 species
AAUGAACGCUGGCGGCGUGCUUUACACAUGCAAGUCGAGCGAGGCCGGGUAGCAAUACCCGAGUCGAGCGGCGCACGGGUGAGUAACGCGUGGAUGACCUGCCUGAGGGUGGGGGAUAACCCGGGGAAACUAGGGCUAAUACCGCAUAAAACCGAGUGGUCACAGGGGGCCGCAAGGCACUCGCCUGCAGAGGGGUCCGCGUCAGAGUAGCUAGUUGGCAGGGUAAUGGCCUACCAAGGCGACGAUCGGUAGCCGGCCUGAGAGGGUGAUCGGCCACACUGGAACUGAGACACGGUCCAGACUCCUACGGGAGGCAGCAUUGGGGAAUUUUGGACAAUGGGCGCAAGCCUGAUCCAGCCAUUCCGCGUGAGUGAAGAAGGCCUUCGGGUUGUAAAGCUCUUUCGCAAGGGAAGAAAACUUAGUUACUAAUAUUAACUGAGGUUGACGGUACCUUGAUAAGAAGCACCGGCUAACUACGUGCCAGCAGCCGCAGUAAAAC